rnacentral:rRNA from 1 species
UAGUCCACGCCCUAAACUAUGUUCACUCGAUAUUGGCGAUAUACUGUCAGUGUCCAAGCGAAAGCGUUAAGUGAACCACCUGGGGAGUACGUUCGCAAGAAUGAAACUCAAAGGAAUUGACGGGGGUCCGCACAAGCGGUGGAGGAUGUGGUUUAAUUCGAUGAUACGCGAGAAACCUUACCUGGGCUCGAACGCUACCGGACAAUCCCUGAAAGGGGAUCUUUCUUCGGAACUGGUAGUGAGGUGCUGCAUGGUUGUCGUCAGCUCGUGCCGUGAGGUGUUGGGUUAAGUCCCGCAACGAGCGCAACCCUCAUUUUUAGUUGCCAGCGGGUUAUGCCGGGGACUCUAGAAAAACUGCCUACGUAAGUAGUGAGGAAGGGGGGACGACGUCAAAUCAUCAUGGCCUUUAUGCCCAGGGGCUACACACGUCCUACAAUGGCCGGGUACAGAGGGGCUGCAAAACCGCGAGGGUGGAGCGAAUCUCUUAAAGCCGGGU